AUUGAACGCUGGCGGCAGGCCUAACACAUGCAAGUCGAGCGGCAGCACGGGUACUGUACCUGGUGGCGAGCGGCGGACGGGUGAGUAAUGCCUAGGAAUCUGCCUGGUAGUGGGGGAUAACGCUCGGAAACGGACGCUAAUACCGCAUACGUCCUACGGGAGAAAGCAGGGGACCUUCGGGCCUUGCGCUAUCAGAUGAGCCUAGGUCGGAUUAGCUAGUUGGUGAGGUAAUGGCUCACCAAGGCGACGAUCCGUAACUGGUCUGAGAGGAUGAUCAGUCACACUGGAACUGAGACACGGUCCAGACUCCUACGGGAGGCAGCAGUGGGGAAUAUUGGACAAUGGGCGAAAGCCUGAUCCAGCCAUGCCGCGUGUGUGAAGAAGGUCUUCGGAUUGUAAAGCACUUUAAGUUGGGAGGAAGGGCAGUUACCUAAUACGUAUCUGUUUUGACGUACCG
rnacentral:rRNA from 1 species